GAUGAACGCUGGCGGCGUGCCUAAUACAUGCAAGUCGAACGAAACUUCUUUAUCACCGAGUGCUUGCACUCACCGAUAAAGAGUUGAGUGGCGAACGGGUGAGUAACACGUGGGCAACCUGCCCAAAAGAGGGGGAUAACACUUGGAAACAGGUGCUAAUACCGCAUAACCAUAGUUACCGCAUGGUAACUAUGUAAAAGGUGGCUAUACUACCGCUUUUGGAUGGGCCCGCGGCGCAUUAGCUAGUUGGUAGGGUAAAGGCUUACCAAGGCAAUGAUGCGUAGCCGAAUUGAGAGGUUGAUCGGCCACAUUGGAACUAAGACACGGCCCAAACUCCUACGGGAGGCAGCAGUAGGGAAUCUUCCGCAAUGGGCGAAAGCCUGAUGGAGCAACGCCGCGUGGGUGAAGAAGGUCUUCGGAUCGUAAAACCCUGUUGUUAGAGAAGAAAGUGCGUGAGAGUAACUGUUCACGUUUCGACGGUAUCUAACCAGAAAGCCACGGCUAACUACGUG
rnacentral:rRNA from 1 species